rnacentral:rRNA from 1 species
AUUCGCGGCCUAUCAGCUUGUUGGUGGGGUGAAGGCCUACCAAGGCGAUUACGGGUAGCCGGCCUGAGAGGGCGACCGGCCACACUGGGACUGAGACACGGCCCAGACUCCUACGGGAGGCAGCAGUGGGGAAUAUUGCGCAAUGGGCGGAAGCCUGACGCAGCGACGCCGCGUGGGGGAUGACGGCCUUCGGGUUGUAAACCUCUUUUACCACCGACGCAGGCCCGCGCUUCUGUGCGGGUUGACGGUAGGUGGGGAAUAAGGACCAGCCAACUACGUGCCAGCAGCCGCGGUAAUACGUAGGGUCCGAGCGUUGUCCGGAAUUAUUGGGCGUAAAGAGCUCGUAGGUGGUGUGUCGCGUCUGCUGUGUAAGUCCGGGGCUUAACUCCGGUUUUGCAGUGGAUACGGGCAUGCUAGAGGUAGGCAGGGGAGACUGGAAUUCCUGGUGUAGCGGUGAAAUGCGCAGAUAUCAGGAGGAACACCGGUGGCGAAGGCGGGUCUCUGGGCCUUACCUGACGCUGAGGAGCGAAAGCGUGGGGAGCGAACAGGAUUAGAUACCCUGGUAGUCCACGCUGUAAACGUUGGGCGCUAGGUGUGGGGACCUUCCACGGUUUCCGUGCCGUAGCUAACGCAUUAAGCGCCCCGCCUGGGGAGUACGGAAU